rnacentral:rRNA from 1 species
GACGAACGCUGGCGGCGUGCUUAACACAUGCAAGUCGAACGGAAAGGCCCUGCUUUUGUGGGGUGCUCGAGUGGCGAACGGGUGAGUAACACGUGAGUAACCUGCCCUUGACUUUGGGAUAACUUCAGGAAACUGGGGCUAAUACCGGAUAGGAGCUCCUGCUGCAUGGUGGGGGUUGGAAAGUUUCGGCGGUUGGGGAUGGACUCGCGGCUUAUCAGCUUGUUGGUGGGGUAGUGGCUUACCAAGGCUUUGACGGGUAGCCGGCCUGAGAGGGUGACCGGAUACGGUGGAGUGGAGACACGGCGCAGAGUGGUGGGGGAGGCAGGAGGGGGAAAGAUGGCAAGGGGGGCGGAGGGCGGAGGCAGCAGCGGGGGGUGGGCGAGGGCGUUGUGGGGGUUGUCAGCGGCUUGCGGAUGGGAGGAAGCGGGGGAGACGGAAAUGGGCAAAGAAGCACCGACGAACAAAGUGCCGGCGGCGCGGAAAUGACGGAAAACCACACUGUGACA